rnacentral:misc_RNA from 1 species
GGGAAAUCUUUCACUAGUCUCGAGCAGGAGGAUAAUACAUAAGAGGAUGUAGAGCGGGGUACCAACAUUAUUCCUACUAUGAAGCAUACAUAGAAAAGAAGGGCAAGGACUAUUGGUCAAACAUCAGAAAGGAAUGGAAAGGGGAAACAGGAGCCUACAAAAAUAAAAACUAAGGAUAGAGAUGACCAAGCUGAUGAGGAA